CAGUAGCCGCGGGAAUACAGAGGGUGCGAGCGUUAAUCGGAUUUACUGGGCGUAAAGCGUGCGUAGGCGGCUAAUUGAGUCGGAUGUGAAAUCCCCGAGCUUAACUUGGGAAUUGCAUUCGAUACUGGUUAGCUAGAGUGUGGGAGAGGAUGGUAGAAUUCCAGGUGUAGCGGUGAAAUGCGUAGAGAUCUGGAGGAAUACCGAUGGCGAAGGCAGCCAUCUGGCCUAACACUGACGCUGAGGUACGAAAGCAUGGGGAGCAAACAGGAUUAGAUACCCGGGUAGUCCCUGUCUCUUAUAC
rnacentral:rRNA from 1 species